AACGAACGCUGGCGGCAUGCCUAACACAUGCAAGUCGAACGAUACCUUCGGGUCUAGUGGCGCACGGGUGCGUAACGCGUGGGAACCUGCCCUUAGGUUCGGAAUAACCCCCCGAAAGGGGUGCUAAUACCGGCUAAUGUCUCCGGACCAAAGGUUUAUCGCCUUUGGAUGGGCCCGAGUUGGAUUAGCUGGUUGGUAGGGUAAAAGCCUACCAAGGUGACGAUCCAUAGGUGGGCUGAGAGGAAGAUCUGCCACACUGGCACUAGGACACAGCCCAGACUCCUACAGGAAGCAGCAGUGGGGGAUAUAGGAAAGUCGGGGAAAGCCUGAUGCAGCAAUGCCGCGUGAGUGAUGAAGGCCUUAGGGUUGUAAAGCUCGUUUACCCGGGAUGAUAAUGACAGUACCGGGAGAAUAAGCUCCGGCUAACUCCGUG
rnacentral:rRNA from 1 species